rnacentral:lncRNA from 1 species
UGUCAUUGUCUGCAAUUGCAAUGUCCCACAAAUACAAUAUAGAGUUGAAAGUGUAACUAAGUUAUUGAAAGGUGAAGCCAUUGGUGGUGGGCAAUGGAAAAUGUUUGCCCUUGUUUGAGCCCCAUUUUUUUUUGGGAAGAAUGAAUUUUUGAAUAGUAUAUUGAUGAAAAAUGUGUGGUUAAGAAAUAAGGAAAAGUUUUAGAUUUGCGUGUAAUAUUAUUUUAUUAAAAAAUGUGUGGCUGAACUAAUGUCAAACACUGUUGAAAAAUGUAUUUUUCCAAAAGAAUGGGGCUCAAACAAGGGCUUUGUCAUUUAUUUCCAGUGCAUGUGAAGAUUGAGAUUUAUGUGUUUAAAUGGAGGGAAAAUGAGUAAUUUUAAUGGGUUUUCUAGAUUGUUUUGGUGAAUUAAUUUGGAUUGGUAAUGAAUAAUCAUGGUUUGGUAGAUUAGUGGAUUGCUUAAGAGAAGACUACAGGCUACUCACCAAGUUCUUAAGAAUUCACAUUCAAUUGUUUAUCCAAUCUUCACAUGCACACCACAUGAAUUAGCAUUGGAAAAAAAAAAUGACAGACAUUCUCCAUUUCCCACCACCUAUGGCUUCACCUUUCAAUGCUAAAAUUAUCUAUCUUUUCCCCUUUAGUUACACAGAAGUGCUUUCUUUAUAGAAUCUGUUUAAACAAUCAUUAGUCAUGUGAAAUGCCUAAAUCACAUUUAAAUUUCCAAAAGUUCCUGCCUCUCCUUCCGUAAUAAUAACUAAUGCAUCCACAUUGGGUGCCUAUGACAACUUGUGUACCUAAUAAACUUGUUAUAAGAUAACUUGAUAAAAUUGGAUUUUAACUAGAAUUGAUUGGCAAAGAUAAGCUAAAGUUCAGAUUCCAUUGUGGAGGAGUUAUGAGUGCAAAAUUCAUAUCUGUAUUUAGGCAGUGAAUGAUACCUGUUAACAGUAAUCUUUAGGAAAGCAUGCUUGUUUCGGUUGUGGGGCAAAGCUAUUUAUUGUGCUGGUUGAUUAGGCUUUUUAAGGGCUUAUUAUGGUCUGGAUUUAAAAAUAGAUAAAGCAAGGAAACAAAACGGAGAAGGGUCCUAAUGGUCUAAUAGAGCAUUAUUUAGGAAUUUGAACCAAUGAAAAGCUGCUUACCUUGGCUAUGGUUUUCAUAACAGAUUAAUAUUUUUGAAGAGAGUCAUCUCAAUUUUCAACCAUUGUAAAAUAAACAAAUAAUUGCCAAUAUGACAAACUACAAAAAAAAAAACAAGAAAAAAAGAAAAGAAAAAAAAGAAAGAAAUCAAACCAUAAUCGAACAGAAUUUAGCAGAAGCCAAUUGUAUGAUCACAAUUAAACUGCCAAAUGAGUACUAAGUUAUUCAAUAAUAGUCUUUAAAUUAUGGCCCAAUAUUCUAGCCUUAUUGACAAGGCAUCCCAUUCAUAAUUCAUGGAAAAGUGAUCGACCCACUUGCUACAAUUUGCCAUCAGUUUCCCAAUUUCACAUUGAUUUUCGGAAGCUCUAAUGUUGUGGAAACAUUUUCUACAAAAGAUGAGUAAACUUUGUUUUUUGAUCUUUUAGUUUUCUAUUUUCUCUUAUGUGAACCAAAAUCUACAGGGUAGUUCAUUGCUGCAAGAUGAGUAUGACACCUGGACCUCUGUGUUGAAAAUUUGUACCGAUUGAGCAAAGCAAAAUUUCUUCAAUAAGUAAGCCUGAUGGUAGGUGCACUUAGUGUUAAUAAAUAUAGUUUUGUACCCAUUCGGUUCGUAUAUAAUUCAUACAUUUCACAUAAUGUUUGCUCUAAAUUUCUCUAUGUGAUAGGUGUAUCAAAUGUUAAGGCGUUUGAAAUUUGAUCAAUUAUAUAUUUAGUUCCUGAUAAAUUAUAUCGGGGGUCAAUCACGUAUGCUAAAGGAAAUAACAUAGGCAAAUCUUCCCAAUAUUUUCUAAAUUUUAAUUUCAUAGCAAUUAUAAUUUCACCAAAAUCAAGGUCAUUUCUGUAUUCAUGAAAUGUUCUUGUACCAUACAGCUGGUGAGAUAGUAAACGCCCGUUAAAAUUUUAGUGGUUUUAUAAAAAGAUGUCAAAAAUCUUUUACCUUUCAAAGCUAUUUGUCAAAUCACGUUCAGUCAACAUACCCUCGUCAUCACUUCUAACAUGUCUAUUGUUAUAAUAAGUCAGUUAUUAAAUGUUCAAAACCUUCACAUAACUUUAAUAACAAGUAAAUAGAGUUCCACCUAUGAUCUACUUUGCUAACAAAUGUUUUAGCAUUUUGCAUUCUUAUUUCGGCACAAUAAUCCUCAAAUGCUUGUUUUCUACUUGGGGAGAUUGUGAUGUAUAUUAGUGCAUUCCUAAUAUUUUGAAGUUCAUCUUUUAUAUGUUUUAAACCAUCUUGGACAAUUAAAUUCAAAAUAUGACAUACACAACGAAUAUGAAACAAAUACCCACCAAAAUCAGGUUGCAGAACCCUAUGCAAUUUAUCGGCAACUACUUUAUUAACACUAGCAUUAUCGAAAGUAAAUGAACGAAUUUUACCUUCGCAAUGAUAUUCUCUAACAAUACUAAUAAUAACAUUAAAUAUAUUAUUAACGUUGUGAGGAAACUCAAUAAUUCUAAAACAAUAAUUUUUUAUGCAUGCACCAAAGUGAGUCUAUAUAAUGUGCAGUUGCAGCUAUAUAUGCUCUUUUAUUAAUUCCUUCCCAUAUAUCCGAAGUUAAAGAUAUGACACCCCCAUAUCUUUACAAAUCCAUAAUUAAUUGUUGUUUUGUUGAAGUAAAAUAUUGUAAUGUAUCGGAACGAAAAGUGUUUCGACUUACCCCAACGUACAUUGGCUGCAGAUAUUCUUUCACAUAUGAGACGUAGUGUUGGUUGUCAAUUAAUGUCAAAGGCAACUCAGCACCAGCAAUAAGCUUCACCAUUCUGGUUCGAACUUUCUCCUCUGAAUACACCCAUGUGGAUAGAGGUGCAACAGAACCACCAGCGUAUGGACUGCCAAAUUACAAUUGUGUUUGACAGCCUAGAAUAAGUCCGUGUUUGGCCACACAUACUUUGUAAUGAUGGUUGAGAUGGGUGGUACCAAUUCCUUUUUGCCAUGCCAAUCUUUGUUGGUAGUAUUUACAUACUGCUUUGGAUUCUUGGACUCCAUUGACGAUUUUUCUCGUUGAAAUCAAUUUAAAGUGAUCCCAACAUUUUGCUUGUUUUUUCGCCUUUCGCUUUCUCCUCGCAUCAGGAAUGUUUAAUUCAUCAUCUUCUUUCUGAUCGUGUUCCGCUUUGGGAACGUCAACAUUAUCCAAAUUAAUUGGAUAAUUUGGAUUGCUGCUUACAUAAUGAUGAAGAUCCAAAUUUGAAAUAUCUUUAAGUAGGGGUACAUCAUUUAGAUCUUCAAAUUGAUUCUAAAAUUGACUUUGCAGUGUCAUAGCGAUUCGUUUCCUCCCACGCCGAACAAGUUUUUGACAAAUGUGCGUGGAUCCAUUUGUUUAAUUGUAAUAAGUAAUAACUAGUAAAAGAAUAAUUGUAUAAAUGUAGUGAGAAAUGAAAAUUGGAUGAAAUUUCAAUAAAUAUAGUGAGAACUGAGAAAUGAGAAUUGGAUAUUGUAUAAAUUGUAUAUAAAAAUUACACAACUAUCAACAAAACACAAGAGAGUUGAGAGAAAGAUAAUUGAGAGUUGAGAGUGAAUUGUAGAAGAUUUUGUGGUUAAAUGUCACUAUUUAUAGAAGAAGAAAAAAAAAUUUAAGGACCAAAACGGUCACUGAAAAACUUCAGUGACCAUUAACGGUAAAAAAAAAAAUUAAUUUAGGGACGGAAACGGUUACUGACAAAAGUCAAUCACCGUAACGGUCACUGAUUAAGUGACCGUUUCGGUCACUUUCGAAAACGAGCCCACGAGCUUGGGCUCGUUUUAAACGAUCGUGGCUCUUUUUUUGUGCGAACCCUGUUGGCUCGGCUCGCCCACUGAAUUGGCCCGCUCGGCUCGCGCUCCGGCUCGUGUUUUUUCGAGCUCGAGCCGCCCACGAGCUCUGUUUUCGCGAGUCAAGCAGGUGAGCCGACGAGUCGCUCAGCCCAUUUGCCACCCCUAGGUGAACUCGACUUGGAUGAAGAAUGACACUUCUGAUUAUGUUAGUCGGCCUUUUUCUUUGUCCUAUAUCAUCAUAAAUUUUAAUCUUAUAUUAUAUUAACAUAUAUGUGAGCAAACUUGCAAUCUAACAAUGGAUGGAAUGACAAGUAAUCUCUAGUAUCACCAAGGAAGCUGUUUAUACAGUACUUUUUGCUUCCAAUUUUUUUUAUAUGAUUAAAGGGUUGGCUGAGUUGGUAGAUGACAAUGGCGGUGAAUUUACUUAAAGAUGCUUGAUAUUUUGAUUGGUGUUUUGUCGAUGAACUGUGUAAUACCACGCGCUUCAUUCUCGUAAUUACUAUGUCUGAAUAGAUUAUGUAUUUGUAAUGCCACAUAUGGUUUACUUUCUUAUAAUUGAUACCAUGAAGUCUAGCGAAGUAUCCUUGUGAAUUCACAAAUUUUGGUGUGCAAUGAGAUGGCUAUAAUGUAAAUAGACUUCUUGCACUUUUUAAUCAACAAACAAUGGUAAAGCCCUAUUAGUUAAUAGUGGAAAAUUAACUAUGAGUAAGAAUAAAUGUCUCUUCACUAUACAUAGUAUUUUCAUAUAACUAUUAAAAAUGUGAAUAUUACAAGUUUACAAUUGGGCUUUUGUUUAUUUUCAAUUUUCAUCUUUUUUCCUCCUCUGAAACGAAGAAGAAAAUUAACUAGGUCAACUGGAAAACUAGAAAGGAAACACCAUAACUCUUGAUAGACGUUCCCGACAUUUUAUCUAUUGACAAGUUCAUCUGUCGAUAAUUACUAAGGCUAACUGUCGGGAACGACAGUUCAGUCCUUACCUGAGCUCAGUGUGUUUCACAUUAAUUUCGAUCUUACAUAAGUAAAUUCGUAAAAGGUGAUUUGAAGUAAUAUGUGUGAUAUUCGUUGUAUGCAUUUGGUGAAAAUCUUGAUUGACACUUGACAUAUAUUUCAUUUCAAUGUGUAUGUUACGUGUGUCAUAACCUUGUUUUCACUUGCAAUCCACUUGUUGUGUGUGGUACUCGUUGUAUUCGGGUGGAACUCUUGAUAGACACUUCAUAGUAUACUUAUGGUUUUUGGUCUAUAUGCAGCUAGAAAUAUUAUAUUAUCAUUUGAUGCAUCCAUUUCUUGUUUUGUCUUUGCAUACAUGGAUUUCGAGCUUCUUGCUCAGGAGACAGUGACGACAAGGAAGCUUGUGUUGGUUUGGGGGACGGUGACGACAAGAAAGUUCCCUACGCUUGUUUGGGAAACGUUGAGCAAGACUUAAUUGCUUCUGCUAGCGGCAUGGCAGGGGAGGACGUAAGUUUCUUGUGAGAAAAUUUUGAUCUAAUUAAUUACGGUUAGUGGUACAAAUUUCGAUUAAAUAUUUAGGGCCCUUUGCAAUAUUUUGUAGGCGGUGUGAGUGAAAUGCCGGUGGAGGCCACCACAGCCGUGCCCGGGGAUACGGCACCUAUCUCAAAGAUGAUAUGAUCUGCACGCCUGCGACAUCCUGCACCGUCUACUAGGACUCCGUACAUGAGGGAGAUUGCAAAGAAAGUGAAAAAAUAAGUGAGUAGUUCUUUUUUGUUUUGGCAACUUCGACAGUACAAUUGCAUUCGAAAACUUAAAUGCCAUGAAAUUUGGAACCUGAUGUAUAAUUGCACUUAUUGAGCUCGUACAAAAUGCAAUAAAACUCUACUCCGAUACAAUUUAUAAUACAAAUGGAUUGAAUCACAAACUCUAUACACCUUUCUGAAAUUCUAUCAAACGUUUUGUUAUUUUGUGAGAUGAUCGAUAAAGAUAGCAUGGACCUGAAUGCUAUUACAUUUCUUCACCUUGCUUUCUACGUGCUUUGUCUCAGAAUACUCAUUUUACUUAUGUAUGAUGGCCUAUGUACAGAAUCGUACUCAUGACCUGAACAAGUAUCAAAGUGUUGGUCGACAUGUUCUUGUUGUAAUGGGAGGUGGAUCCAAUCGAUGUCCAUGUCAAAGAAAGAGCGACGUUGACAAUGUUUUACUUCGGGUGACUGCGGAGAAUGCACGGAGGAACAUUUUGUUUUAUAUUAUUGUAUAUUUAUUUUUUGGGAAAUGUUGAUAUGUUCAAGUGGUAUUCACUGUCAAAGAAACUGUGUGAAUUUAGUACGGAAAAUGUUGGUAUGGAAACUGUUUUUGGCACACUUUGUAAGUUUUUUACUUUUUGAACUCAU